rnacentral:sRNA from 1 species
AUUCUGCCCAUGCGGGGAAGGAUGAGAAGCUUCGACCAAGGUUCGACUCGAGCGCCAACGAGAGAGCGUGGCCGCAGGCAACGACCCGAAGGGCGAAGCGCGCAGCGCUGAGUAAUCCUUCCCCCACCACCA